rnacentral:rRNA from 1 species
AGUGAACGCUGGCGGUAGGCCUAAUACAUGCAAGUCGAACGGAAGCACAGUAAGAGUUUGCCUCUACGGGUGGCGAGUGGCGGACGGGUGAGGAAUACAUCGGAAUCUAAUUUUCUGUGGGGGCUAACGGAGGGAAACUCACGUUAAUACCGCAUACGACCACCGGGUGAAAGCAUGGGAAAUUCGGACUUUGCGCGCACGAAUGAGCCGAUGUCGGAUUAGCUAGUUGGUGGGGUAAAGGCCCACCAAGGCGACGAUCCGUAGCUGGUCUGAGAGGAUGAUCAGCCACACUGGAACUGAGACACGGUCCAGACUCCUACGGGAGGCAGCAGUGGGGAAUCUUGGACAAUGGGCGAAAGCCUGAUCCAGCCAUGCCGCGUGAGUGAAGAAGGCCUUCGGGUUGUAAAGCCCUUUUGUUGGGAAAGAAAAGCAGCAGAUUAAUCCCCCGCUGUUCUGACGGUACCCAAAGAAUAAGCACCGGCUAACUUCGUG